AGUCACACUGUAUCCCAACAGCUUGGGAUUCGGAGCUGUCAAGCAGUGGCUCAUUGUUAGCACAACUUCUUCCAGAACGCCAGGAAAAGAAAAGAUGACUUAAGGCUUUUUAUGACCUGCUGACACUUGAGUCUGGCGCUCUCCUGGGCUGGGUCAUCACUUCAGUGUGCAAACAGAUGUCUUGCGUUUUCUGAGGGCUUCUUGUAUCUUUGCCAUGACUGAGAACUGUUGAAUUCCCUUUUUUGGAGAGUUUCUGACUUACAUGUGAGCCCUGAGGUGACUGUAGUCCCAGGUCAGCAGCUCGGCCAGCCGUGUCCUUCAAGUCCAGCUGAGUUUGCAGUGAGGUUACAGCACUGCACAAAAUGGAGCUCAUGGUUGCUAUUAUGCUUCCCCACAUUUCUAGAGAAUUUAGCCAAAUGCAUGGCUCCUCUGUAGGGCACCGGACACCUCCCCAGUGCAGGUGGUACAGUGGGUUUCAAUUUUAGAGCUCUUCUGCCUUUCGUGGUCAUGCUGUCCAUCACAACGGUCUCAACUUUUCUAUUUCUUGAAUCUUCACAGGCAGAAUGCUUUAAACAGUCCCAAAUAUCAGCAUUACAAUGAAAUUAACCUGAACCUACCUGAGGUUUAUGGCCCUGCUUGAGCCUCCUAGGGUCAUGAAGCUGUUUUGGAAGCUGCUGGCCUAUGUCUUUGCAAGUAGUGUGCACUCAAUCACUGCACUUCGCUUUAGAUUAUCAAACCUUACACAAAUCUCCCAGUUUCCUGGCUUGCCCAUAUAUUUGCAGGCUGUUCACUCUCUCUUUGAGUUUACCUGAUCCAUCUGCAGCCAGCCUCCACCUUGCAGGAGGGACAAAACACCCAGGCAGAUGCUCCUGCCAGCAGCUGCAACAGCAGAUUUGGAGGGGGCUAAGUCUCCAGGUUACACAGUCAUCAAAAGUCACAAGGUAAAUCAAAAACCUUGUCUGGGGGCUUCUUCUCUAUUAGGAACCAGCUACCUUCAAGAAUUCCUCAGUAACCAAA